rnacentral:rRNA from 1 species
AGUGAACGCUGGCGGUAGGCCUAACACAUGCAAGUCGAACGGCAGCACAGUAAGAGCUUGCUCUUACGGGUGGCGAGUGGCGGACGGGUGAGGAAUACAUCGGAAUCUACUUUUUCGUGGGGGGUAACGUAGGGAAACUUACGCUAAUACCGCAUACGACCUACGGGUGAAAGCAGGGGAUCUUCGGACCUUGCGCGAUUGAAUGAGCUGAUGUCGGAUUAGCUAGUUGGCGGGGUAAAGGCCCACCAAGGCGACGAUCCGUAGCUGGUCUGAGAGGAUGAUCAGCCACACUGGAACUGAGACACGGUCCAGACUCCUACGGGAGGCAGCAGUGGGGAAUAUUGGACAAUGGGCGCAAGCCUGAUCCAGCCAUACCGCGUGGGUGAAGAAGGCCUUCGGGUUGUAAAGCCCUUUUGUUGGGAAAGAAAAGCAGCAGGUUAAUACCCCGCUGUUCUGACGGUACCCAAAGAAUAAGCACCGGCUAACUUCGUG